rnacentral:tRNA from 1 species
AAAUAAUUAAUGAAUAUUUGCAUUUAAUUUCGACUUAAAAGAUAGAGUUUUAAUACUCCUUAUUUU